GCAAGGAACAGAGGGAGAGCUUGUUCCAGCAGACGGGCCCCAUCCGCUCCUCCCGUCCGAGGGCUGGGAAGAAGGGAUGGAGGCGAAGGGAACUCUCCCACCCCUCCGGGGCCCCGCGGGCGCGCUGCUUCCCAGAAAAUACGGUAAAAAGCCUUCAGCCUAAAAAUAACUGCAGCCCGUGGCUGCCCAAGGCUGAGGAACCAGCCCCUCGGGGCUCACUUAGAGAUGUCAACGUGUGGCCAUUGGCCGGUCUCUCUGAUGGGCAGAAGUCAUCUGGCGAGGUGCUGAUCCUCCUAUAGUGUUUGCAAGAUCUUUAAGAAGAAUUGCAUGGCCGAUGUCGUUGCGUUUGAGUUGUGCUAGAAUACCCUGACCAUCAGAGGACUUGGAUUUUAUGACAGAAGAGAUCAGCACUGCAAAGACAUGGCGAUGUUGUUCACAUUGCCUGGACCUGAGCCCAGGGUCCGGGACCAGACCUGUCUCAUACCCACACCUUAGAAGACAGCGCCGUGUUCGUGUUUUCUUUUUGCAGGCUGAAAGCUUUCCUGGACCUGCUGAACACUUCUGCUGUAAUCUGUCGUGGCUGUCAGGGUGCCAAGAGACAUGCCAGACCCUGGGCCACAAUAGUGGAACAGACAUGCCCAGAGCUGAAAGCUGGCACAAGGUAGUGUAUAAAGUGAGAUAUGUGAAGCCACGGGCAAAUAGUUUGGUAAUCACGUGGGUCAGUUAGGCUUGGCACAGGGCAGAGCCUGUCUGCUCAUCAAGGAAGGCAGAGACAAAACUUCGUCAUAGAAUCAUAGAAUAUUUGAAUUAUUGAAUCAUUGAAUGGCUUGGGUUAGAAGGGACCUUACAGCCCACCCAGCUCCAACCCCAGUGCCAUGGGCACAGUUGCCACUCACUGCAUCAGGUUGCCCAGUGCCCCACACAACCUGGUCUUGAGAAGAGUUGGGGGACUUCUUAAUGAGAGCUACGAGGAUUAAACAAAAACAAUUACUCCAGAAGGACUGAGGUAAAGGACACAGUGUUGUCUCAGUGGGGUCGCAAACACAUUUCAAAACAGAUUUUUGCAGAAAGAGAUGUUUCCCAUUCCCCAGAUAUCUUGUUCCCAACAACGAUUCUCGUUUCACAGUAAGGUUCAGGGUUGGAGGAAGGAGCAUGAGCCUUGCUCAGCAUUGGUGCAGGGGAUGCUCCACGUGUCUCCUCACCUAGAAAGCUAAACCUCAAAGAAUAGAAGAGCACAAUUCACUCCUCGCAGAUGGGGAAAUGGUGCAGUGAGUCAGCAAGGCAGACCACAGAUGCUGUCCAAAAGCAUUGCAGCAAUUAGUUGGAGCAAGGUGGAGAUAUAUUCCUCCAAAAUGAAAGUCUCUGUAGGCUGUUACCAGUGCUCACAGCCAUCUAGUCCCUUGCUGAACAUUUCUGACCAAAAUCCUUCCAAGCUGAUCUAUUUUCAGCCCAACCCACUCGAUACCUUGAUUGCUACGCAGCUCUUUUAGCUGCUCUUAGGUAAACAUGUUGUCAUUCCCUGGCAUUUUGCCUCGCUAAGACCAAAAAUAUGAGUGGCACAGAAAAUAAGAAAAGCUGUUCUCCUCCGCCAGGAAAAAUGAUGCUAUUUCUGAAAUAAACUGUUUUUAAUACACCUCACCAGCCAUGUGCAUAUACACACAUGUAUAAAUAUACUUGACCCGGAGGUCCAGUUCCAGUGUUGGCAUCUUGUAUGCCUAUAUGGAGACAGAACAGAGAGGGAAUUAUGUAUGUACAAACCAGGACACACCUUCGGUCCAGUCUACAUCUGAAUGCAGAACGUUGGUUAAGACAAAAUACUGAGGUCUGAUCCCCAUUAAAACAGGUUCACAGGGACUGGUCCAAACUGAGACCAGAGAGUUAUGGGCUGUCAUGAGGAGCAGCUUCUACCAUAGCGACCCAUGUGCCCCAUACCUAAAACCAGCAUCCCCAGGGUUGAACCAGAGCAGGCUGGAGCAGAUCAGUGUCAGAGCUCUAUCCACAGCAGGCCUUGUUUUUGAGGAAUGACAGUGAUGUUGGCCAGACCUCCAAGCCUCUUUUUUUUUCAGAUUUCUCUUUAUCGAGUAAACACAUAGAAGUCAACAACAGAUGGAGCAUCACAUGGAGUUACGCAGGUCAGCAAAGGCUUCGGAGACCCCGUGAGUUUGAGGAGGCAAUAAAUUGGCAGGAGAUGUGGAUGGGAAAUUAUUCUGAGGGACGGAGGAAAAAAAUAGUGGGUUGAUCUGUCGCCCCUGUGACAUGCUCAGGUUUUGUGGAGGAAGACAAAGGUGGGCAGAUAACAAAAGCUCCUGGGUAGGAAGGCUUUUGGGUUCCUCUUUGGCUGCAAAUUGUGAAAUUCAAGCAGAAAGGUAACAAACUGGUAACAAAACGGGCAGGAGUAAAGCAAAGCGAGUGCAAAACAAAAGCAGAUUUUGUGUGACAGGAGCAGAUUGAACUGAUGUGACAAAGGAGGAGGAGAGCUUUUUCAGUAGCUUGUAUAGUGCUGCGGGGAGCUGGGAGUGACAAAUGAGGAAUUUGCACAAGUGGAGAGCAACAGCGUAGGGCUGUGUGUUGAGGAAGAAAGAAAGGAGAAAAGGGAGCAAAGGACACCUAUUAAUAAAAAGAAACCUACAUUCCAUUUAAGAUUUAUUGCUAGCUCAGAGCCAGAGAAUCUUUCAUGCCUUCGCAUCUCUGAGCUAACAUUACCCAAGAGUGGGUAGUGGUGGGGAUCCACUAUGAGCCAUUGAAUUCAAGUGGAAAAGAGCUCCGGUCUUUAAUAUGCAGAAAUUAAAACACUUUGGCUGACAGAGCUUUCAAUCUGAGAAACCUGCACUGUAGUAGCAGAAUAGCAUUAGUGCUCCUGAAUACACAGCUGGUAAUUUCCGAGCACGAAAUAUCAUGCAUUGAAAAUGAAAUUGCUCCAUUUAGGAGAUCGGUGUGGUGGGGAUGGAUGAAUUCAGUGCUGGAUGAAAAAUUAAUGGUUGCCUUCAGACAGGUGUUGACUAGCUGGUGGUGUUCCAAGAAAGGACGGUCCCAUCUGGUCAUGGGGAGAGCUGUGAUGGUGCGAAAAGAAGAGAGUGAUCACCAUGGACAAAGAGCAUCCCACGAACUCAUGUCAGAGAAGAGUUUUUGUCUUGGAGGUGGAGGGCUCAGUCGGUGGGAGAAGUAGGGCUACUUCUACGUGGGGUGUGGAUGGAGAAGUUUGAGGUAAAAUGAGGCUGGAUGGUUGGAGAAACACCAGCUAACAUUGGGUGUGGACUUGAUUACAGCAUAGAAUUGCCUCUGAGGGGAGGGGGUGAGGGGCUGCCUCACGUAGGGGAGAAAUAUAUGAUAGCAGUGGGUUGGAAAGCUGAGAUUUGGGCAAAUUUGAAUGAAAAAAAGAAGCACCUUUUAGCUGACAGAUGAUUAGGAUGCACUUGAAGGACAGCAGCGUGUCUUCCCCCACACCAAACCCUGUGUGCCACCUUGGCAGUCCACGGAGGCACCUUGAGCUGACCUAUCCGGUCCGUUCUGCUGGAGGAGGGGACAAGCAGGCCCCAGCUUCCAUCAGCUGCUCUGGGUUUGCAGUUAGGGUAGAUAAAUCCUUAUACUUACAAAGCAAGGCUGCCCGCGUGCCAAGUUGAGCACUGAAUCAGAAGAUGAGCUCCCUGGGGGGGUAAUCGGUAUCUUUCAUAAACUGCAAUUGGUCAGAGGAGAUGGGGAUUUUCCUGGCUCCAGCCCACGCACCCCUGCCCAUGCUGUGUGAGACGUGCAGGGCAAUUUACCUAUCGAUAGCUCACAGUGCUGGGCAAAUAUUUGUCUUAUCGUGGGUUUAGCAGUGAUAGCUAAAGGGCAGCGGCAAAACAAAGCCCAGGAAAGACCCAACUCUGAUCCAGUGCAGCUGGGAAAGCUGGAGGCUUUCCAGUCUGUGGGUGCUCAGCGUGUCCCUGCCCGGAAGGGGCUGCGGGGGGGAGCUGGGCUCAGCACUGCAGUGACAUUUGGAGAGAGCAGGAGGUCACAGAGCUGGAAGCAAACACAGGCAGUGACUGUCCUGCAGUGCACAGCCAGAGAGCUGCCUCUGCAGAGAGAAAACACAGGCAAGCACGCCUGAAACCUGUGCUUUGCUUCACUGCGCUUUCCUCCCAUAAAAAGUCUUUUAAAAAGUAUGAGUAAAUCUUUUUCCUAAAUCCUGUUCUCUUCCCUUCCCCUUCUCGUUCCCCUUCUCCCCCCUUCUCGUUCCCCUUCCCUUCCCUUCCCUUCCCUUCCCUUCCCUUCCCUUCCCUUCCCUUCCCUUCCCUUCCCUUCCCUUCCCUUCCCUUCCCUUCCCUUCCCUUCCCUUCCCUUCCCUUCCCUUCCCUUCCCUUCCCUUCCCUUCCCUUCCCUUCCCUUCCCUUCCCUUCCCUUCCCUUCCCUUCCCUUCCCCUUCCCCUUCCCUAUGAAGAAACGGAAGGAGAACCCAUGGAGACAAUGUGAGACAUCCCCAGAAUGAAUCCAGAUGUGCUGCUCUGUCUGUAACCCAGUGCUGUAAGGAGGACUGAGAUCUGCUGCACUGCAAGCCUGGAUAAAGAUACCCACCAUGGAUCUUCUCCCUGGACUCCUGACCCCAACUGCUCACCUUCCUCCUUCUGCCCUGGGCUAACUUCUCCUCGACUUCUGCUUUGGUUGAAAAGAGGCUGGGGAAGAAAAGUUGUUGGCAGUUUGUGGGGGUCUCCUUUGGCUUUAGAUGGAGCAGAAGAAUGCACUAUCACUUCUGCUAUAGGCUGUGCUUAGCAGUGGAGCAAGGCAUUGCCCUAGCACCAGCAGCGCUCUGAAUUCAUCUCCACACUCCAUGUUUUCCUUCACUAAGUCUAAUGAGGGCUGCAGGCUGCUAGGGAGGCACGCAGCAAUAAAGACUGAAAACAGUACGCAGGACUUCCAGCUGCAAACUGUGUGUGACCCAGGACCUGACUUGACUUGGCUUGUGUGGGGAUCCUCUUCCCAAUAUCUGAUUCACCCUCAUACUGUAUGUAGCAUCAUGGUUUUUGUCAGCAUUCCAUAUCAUAGCAUCAUGUCAUACGUUCUCAGUACUGGGGCUGCUGGGGUUGUAAUUCCUGGUUUCCUUAUGGUGUGAUGUUAUGAUAUGGAAUAUCGAUGGACAGUACCCUGGACGUGCUCCAUAGGCAUAGGGGGACCCAGGGUGAAAGCCCACCCAAGGACCGCAGACAAGGGCACCCAUAAUAACUAGAGGGUAGCUGGAGAAGCAGCACCAUUGGGUGUAUCAGCUGUGUGUAACCUCCAGCAGCAUCAUACAAGAAAUGUUUGGCCUGACCCAAAGCCCACUGGAGAAAAUAAGGAGAAGCAUCACUUCCAGGAACAGCAUGGAUGUGGUGCAAUCAGGGAGAAAGGCAAGAAAAGCUGUGCAAGCAUUUGCCUAACGUUCUUCUGGGAGAUAAUAAUUGCCAAACAGCACUUGUUCCCUCCCUUUAUCCCACUCUGUCCUUCAGGGACAUCUGUUCCAAAGGGAAGAACCUGAUAAUUAUGGAUUGGGUCCUCCGAUGGAGGCUGGAUAUGGCCCCAAGGCAGCCAGCCUCCCUGUGCACAGUGCUCAUGCUGGGAAUGCAGCCUGUGAGUGGUUCAAUUAAAAGGUUUCUCAGCAAUGACACCAGCAGAGGCACAAGAAGCAGACAACCUAUUCACAGACCAAUUAGUUUUAUGAAUAAAUGUGUGCAGGACAGUGAGCCCAUCGGCUGAGCGAGCCAUGCCGGAGUGCUGAGCAGCACUGGGAAAUAUUCUAUUGGGAAGUUUUAAAUGCCAGUCUCCGUGCAUGGAUGGGGCUGCGUGGCUUUCCAUCAGCUCAAGCUUGCCCCUGCUGAUCCUUCAAUUCACGCUGUCUUCUCCCCAUAUAUGCCAUUCUCAUGGGCUUGGUGGGGGCAAACGCUUCGCAUGCAUGUUUUACCCAGCUCCAUCAUGUCAUCCUUCCCUUCGUGGCCAGAAUGGGCCAUGAACUCCCAUUUCUUCCCAUCAGACUGGGUUGCCUUGCAAAGGGCCCAGCCCCUCUCACCCUAUUUGAGGACCUGGGGGUUCACUGGGGCCAGCACCACUGGGCUCCAGCCUCCUGCAGCCCCAACAUAGGCCAGGUGGGUGUCAGAGCAGCUCCAAUCCCAGUAGGCGUUUAGUGUCAUUUAUACCAAGGCUAAUUACAUCUUAACAUUUUCCCUCUGUAUUUUGGUAUUUAUUUUGGAAAAGCUCCUCCCUGGAGUCACUUUCUUCCCCAGCUCUACAACAACAACAAUAACAGCAGUGCACUGCCUUUUCCCUUGGCUCCUUCCCUCAUUAUUAUAGCUCUGCCAUGCUGUUCCAGUACAGUCAGCAGAGGAAUUCAAUCAGGCUGAUGAGUAAAAGUGCAUAAUUUUAUGGCUGCAUAUCAACUGCUUGUUAUUAAACUAAUCAAUCAGCUUCAGUGCAGCUACCGGUAAAGCACGGGAGAGGGCAAAGUGAAAGAAUUGCUAUGCUGUUCUUUUUCCAAAAGGACAAAAAGACAAUUCCAAUCUGGCCAGUCGAAUUCUUCGGCUUGUACUUCUCUGCUGUAAGAAAUGCUUUGCCUGAGUUAUGGAUCGGUUGACCUGCAGCACAGUAAUGAUGGAGCUGGUGCUGCCCUUGUGCUCACCUCCAGCACUAAGCCCUAACAUGGCAACCUGCUGCAGGGAACCAGCUUUAGUAGGAGGUUGGCAUAGAUCAUCUCCAGAGGUCCCAUCCAACCUCUACAAUACUGUGAUUCUGUGAUUUGCCAUGCCCCAAAGCCCAGGAAAGUCACCAGGUACUCCCACCAUAUCUCAUCUUCUCAGGAAGAGUGGUAAUGCAUUGGAACAGGCUUUGGGGAAGUGGUGGAGUCAUCAUUCCUGAAGGUUUUCAAGGAACAUGGAGAUGUGGCACUGAGGGACAUAGUUAGUGGGCAUGAUGGGGAAGGGUUGGGAUUGGACUUGAUGAUUUUAGAGGCCUUCUCCAGCCUUCAUGAUUCUAUGAUUCUGAAGGUCUGUCCUCCAUGCCCACAAGAGCACAGCAAGUAAGGAAUUGCAUCACACAAAGAGAAACCUGGGCUACACAUCAGGUGUAACUUCCUACAGGAGAAGGGUGAGCAGCCAUUGGGACACACUGCCAGGAGGCACUGGAGGUCCUGGAACAAGCACUAUGUGCUUCUUCUAUAGCAACAUUGGGGUUGGUGUUGGUGAGGUUCUGCUUGUGGCUAGAGAUAGUUAUGAUGGAGUUGGAGGUCCCUCACAGCUCUAGGGGAGAGAGAGACUCAUCCUCUUUGCCAUCCAAGAGGAGGAGAAGGUGUAACAGGGCUUGGAACCUCAAAGCCAGACAGUGGGAUCUUUUGUGUUA
ensembl:lncRNA